GACAGAGGGGGCAAGCGUCGCUCGGAAUCACUGGGCGUAAAGCGCACGUAGGCGGCUUGGUAUGUCGGGUGUGAAAUCCCCGGGCUCAACCUGGGAACUGCAUCCGAAACUGCCUCGCUCGAGUAUGGGAGAGGGAAGUGGAAUUUCCGGUGUAGCGGUGAAAUGCGUAGAUAUCGGAAGGAACAUCAGUGGCGAAGGCGACUUCCUGGACCAAUACUGACGCUCAGGUGCGAAAGCGUGGGGAGCAAACAGG
rnacentral:rRNA from 1 species